rnacentral:lncRNA from 1 species
UUUUAACAAGGAAGAUGAUAUUGGAACCUACACUAUCAAAGCGGUUGAUGAUCCGAGAACCUUGAACAAAAACUUUUACAUUCAGCCUCCCGGUAAUAUUUACUCAUUCAAUGAUCUUGUGUCUCUGUGGGAGAGAAAGAUUGGUAAAACCCUCGAAAAGGAGUAUGUUUCAGAGGAGCAGCUCCUAAAGAAUAUUCAAGGUUGGUUAAAACUCUCUUUUUUUAAAUGUAUUAAAGAGAGCCGUAUAUUCUCUGCCGUAAAUGUUAUUGAUCCUGUCUUCUCCAAAAUGUUGCAGAAGCUGCACCUCCACACAAUGUGAUAUUAUCAAUUUAUCACUCUGCUUUCGUGAAGGGAGUUCAAACCAACUUCAAGAUUGAACCAUCUUUUGGAGUUGAAGCCUCGCAGCUUUAUCCUGAUGUCAAGUACACUACAGUUGAUGAGUACCUCAAUCAGUUUGUGUAACCCUUCUCUGUUUCCAGCUGCAGCUUGCAGGAUCUUGGACUGUUGGUAAAUAAAUAAUUGGCUUGUUGCCAUCUUUGGUUUUAUAUGUAAAAAUUAUGGUUGUUGGCCUUACUUUCUUCUGGUUGUCCAUGGAAUUUGUUAGACCAUAUUUUGUUUGCUAUGUCAGUGAUCAAAUGAAGUAGGCCAUGUACUUGAUUUGAGAGUAGUAGUUAUAAAGCCAUCAUGAUCAGGUGGGUGCGUGGGUUGGGCUUCUAUUAGGGUGCGUGUGUUGGGCUUCAGGGGCUUGUGAUAUGGGUUCGACAGCCCCUAACGGGCAGUCAUUAUAAAAAUAAUUAUAGAGUUACAAAUCUAUGUAAAAAGCAAAAAUUAAAAGUAAUUUAUCAAUAAAAAUAAUUAAAAUUAAUAAAAAGUAGGUAUGAUAUUUCAGAAAUCAAAUUAAAGAUAGCAUUCUAAAGAGUCGGAUAAUCCUCCAACUAAACUAAAGAUCUAGUACAUUUGAGAGCAAAUUUAAUUAAAGAAAAGGAUAAGGAAAAACAAUAGAAUAAUAAUAUUAAAAAUUGCAAAUCUUGGUCUUUUUUUUUUACGAUGAUGUUGAAUUCUUAUAAAUUUAAUCUUAUCUAUAGAAUUAUUUAGUUACUGUAUGUCAAAAUUUCCUAUAAAGAUGAAGAAAAAUUAUAUUAGGAGAAGAUCCAAAUCCGUUUAACUGAUGCAUCAUCGACAACAUGAGUACAACAUUUUUGAAUAAACAAAAGAAACUCGUUUUAUGUGCGAACCAGUUCCAAAAUAAAGAGCAGACUAUUGGAAGGAGACAAAUACUACAAGAAGAACAAAACAUUCUACAGUUCCUACAUGAGCCCGCAACAAUUCAUUAUUAACUCGACAUUCAUUACACUUUUUCUUUAAUUUGACAAAGAAACCAAAAAUAAGAUAAAAUUGACUAAGAAAUAAAAAAAUGACCGAAAUCUUUUUGAAGUUUUGCCAGUUCAGCCAUGCACGCUUAUCUUUAUUCACUUGUUUCCUUUCUUUCCUUUCUUUGCUGAAGCCUUCACAGAUCCUUUACCUUUCUGAGCCUUGCCAAUUUUCCCCUUCUUCAAACCACCUGGCCUUGCUGGAUCCACGUGUCCUUGCAUCCUUUUUCAUUCGUGGAUCAACAAGAAUCUUCCCCUUUCCAGCUCUCUCUUGAACUCCUUUCUUUGGGACCAGUAUUCUUUUGUCGGCCUUUUGGGUAUAGUUGUCUUGUAUAAUUGUUCAAUUUGAUUCCUCUUCGAACGAUCAGAGAUGUCCGCUUAGUCUGAUAUGACAUUUGCCUUCUUGCGAACCUUCUCAAGAUUUCGCAUGGCAACCCGUAUCUUUCGAGCUUUGGUCUUAGCCACCUUCUUGGCAGUAUGGGUGGGCGAUUCGGUUUUGGGAUAAACUUUUGGUUUCGUAUCGGUUUAGAUUAAAAAAUAAUAUAAAAAAAUAUUUAGAUUUUAAGAGAAAAAAUCCGAACCGAGACUCACCUAUCGAUUUCGGCUCGGUUUCAGUUCAGUUUUGAUUCUCCUAAUAGUUUUAUUUUGCCUUAUUGACUUCCGGUCAAUGACACUUUUGAAAAAUUUACCAAAAAAAAAAAAAAUGGCCAUAACAAAAUUUCUAUAUGCAAAUAUUUCCUAAACAUUAGGCUAUACUAAAUUUUUUUAAAAGGUAGGGACCCAAACGAUAUUAUCCCUCUACUUCAUCUUCAACCUUCGUCAUUAGGGAUGGCAAAAUCCGAGUUCGGGUCCGGGUUUAGCCAUUUGGGAUCCGGACCCGGAUGAAUAUUUUUUGUACCAGACCCGAAAAUAAACCCGCAUUUUUCCACUUCGAGUCCGGUACGGGUUCAACCCGAAAAAAUUCGGGUUCCCUGACUGCGGGUUUCCAACUCGGAUUAAUGAAUCCAAUUGAAAAAAAAAAACUAAAUUCAACAAAAAAAAUCAAAUAGAAAUACAUAUCCAGGAUUUCAGCAAAUCAAAGAAAAAUUAUUUCAUCUGGAAACUAAUUAACAAAAACAACAAUUUUGUUUGGCUGCCCAGAAUCAGCAACCCAAUGUGGCGGCUCGUUCAAAACAUUAGUGUUUUCAACAGAUUUUGGGGUAGGAAAAGCCAAACCUAUCUAGAACAAUGAAUUUGUAUUUUUGGGGGAGAUGAGGUACCUCACUGGUUUGUUGUGUGCGGUGCAGUGUAUCUUAAAUUUGGGGGAUGUGAGAAGGGGAGAGGGAGUGGUAAUAAUGGUGAAAGGUCAAAACCAAUAGAGAUGUCCUUCAAAAUGAGCUUCACACCUGUAAAACAGUGAAAUAAAGGUUAGAGGUGAAGCUGGGGUAUCCCGGUGUUCACACUCCGACGCUCAAGUUAGCAAACUCAAGCUUUUAUGACAAAGAGAACUGGCUAGCCCUCUGUAAAUUAGGGUUUAAGGUUCAAGGAAACCUAUUUUUUGGAAUGUGAGUGUUAAUGGUGAGUGAGAGACCUCUUGGAGAAUGAAACCUAUGCGCCUUUAUAUAUGGAGUACCUCAGCUGCCACGUGACGUACCCUUUUUGGCUAACGUCAUUUUUCAUUUUUAUGAUUUUUGGGUCGUUAUGUUCAUGUUCGCGGGGUAUCUCAUCUUUUAGAAACGUGGCGCGCGCUGGAGAGUGGUCCAGGGUACCUCUGCAGUAGCUGUCGGGUAGGCGGCUGAGGACCACUGUCCUUGGGACAGUGUCUUUCACUUUUGGUAAAGGUGACAGGCGGUUGUCCUCCCUUUUAACACGACAUUUUUUAUUCCUAAUUAUGACAAAAUCGAAUAAUAUCUUUUAAGAGAUGGAGACGUUUCUCAUGGUGGAUAUUUUCGGAAGAUUCUCUUGCAUCUGAUCAGCCGGGUUCCUCCAGUUACGCAGGGUACCUCAAUUUAUGUGGGGUACCUCUAAUUUUAUGGGGUACCACUAUUUGCGCAGGGUACCUUGAAUCAUGCCAAGUACCUUAGAUUAUGCGGAGUACCUCUAAUUGUGCGGGAUACCUCUAUUGCGCUAGGUACCUUGAAUCAUGCCGGGUACCUCAGAUUGUGCGGGGUAUCUCUAUUUGCGCAGGGUACCUUGAAUCAUGCUGGGCACCUCAGAUUGUGUGGGGUACCUUGAGUCAUGCGAGGUACCUCUAAUCAGGCCAGGUACCCUCUAAUUGUGCUGAGUACCUAUAAUCAUGCAGGGUACCUCUAAUCAAGCCGGGUACCUUUAAUCAUGCGGGGUACCUCUAAUCAGGCCGGGUACCUUAGAUUGUGCGGGGUACCUCUAUUUGCGCAGGGUACCUUGAAUCAUGCAGGGUAUCUCAGAUUGUGCGGGGUACCUCAAAUUGUGUGGGGUACUUCUAAUCGUGCGGGGUACCUCUAAUCAUGUCGGGUACCUCGGAUUGCACUGAAGUUAUUCCAUUCGUUGACACGUGGCGUUAUGCUAUCUUUCUUAUUUUUCCCCCAAACAACAUCCCUCUAGUUUCUUUUGGCAAGAAGUUUUGGAGGCAAAAGAAACUUACAUAAAAAGUAGAAGCGACACGUGGCGAUAUGAUGUUUAGCUCGAUGGGUAACUAAAUAGAGGGCGCCUUUAGGGGUACCCUGAGAACCCAAAAAGGGAAGAUGGGCUCCAUUUCCUCGGAAAUGGCUACCACUUUGGACAUGUUGGAAAGGAUAGAGCUAAUUGAUCAAAAAAAUUUCAUCUAUUUCUAGGGAAGAACACCAAAUACGGGUAGAGGGUAUCGUUAGGGUACCCCACCAUUACCCAUAGUUUGUUUUCUAGUGACUGCCAUGUAUAAAUCGCUCUGGUGAAGGCUUCAAUACAUUCUUUGGGCAUUUAAGAAGCAAUUAUUUGAUUAUCUCGGGAUCCACCUUAUUUAAGGGUAUAUUUCCUUCAUGUACUUUGAAGACAAAAAUAAAAUCACAGGGCUUUCUUCCUUGUAACUUCAGAGGUACCCUCGACAGAAGAAUAUAGUCAACAAUGCUUUUAAGCGUAUCAUGAUCGAGGAAUGGAGUGCUGAUCUGGGGUUGGUGGUGCCAAGAGUGGAGAAGAUGGUAGAUGAACCGGCUAUCUUGAAGGCGAUUAACGAUAGCGGGGCUCUCAACACAUCUUGGUCUGAAGGGGUAAUGCAAAUAAGUUUACGUUGAUUGGAUAUUCAGAAGAAGUAAUACGCCAUUAAAAGCAACAAGUUUUCCAAAAAGCCAACAAAGACAGACACCACCACACCACCCCGCGCUGGAUGAAAAACGAUGAAAGCAUGAUAAGUGACAUCGAGUAAGCCACGUUCUCUCUCUCUCUCUCACUCGCACUCGCACUCGCACUCGCACUCGCACUCGCACACACUGUUACUAAAAUAACCAAAAAUAAGAUUCCCAUCAAAAUAUUUUCAAGUAUCGUUCUUGAAAGUGGCGGCGGCUGAUGAUGAUGAACACAGCCGCGAUUGCGAUUGGCGAAGGCGGCGUUCAGCCCGUAUCACAGCUAGUUAUCGGUCGUGGCAGAAAAGAUAAUGAAACGACGGCUGAUGAUGAUAAUGAUGAUGUUGAACAGCCGCAAAUAUGGGUAAGUGAUGCGACGAUGAUUUGAUGAAGAUGAAGAUGAGCUGAAGAUGGAAUAAGAGUGGAAAUGUUUGUGCGGCUGGGAAAGUGUAAUGAGCUGCUAGGGCACCAUUUGGGUUUUUUUGCUUUCCUAUUUAUAUUAAAAAUAAUUUUUAAAAAUUAAUAUAUAUCCGGGUUCGGGUUUUGGAUGUACGGGUUUACCUAGACCCGGACACAUGCGGAUUCAGCAGCACCGACCACCCACAGACUUGGAUUCGAUUGCAAAGUUGGGACUUAGGAUUUGGGUUUGUGGCUGCUGAAACAGAAAGUGAGAGAGUAGAAAGUAGAGACUAAGAGUGGUGCAAACAUGUGUAAUUUUGUGUGUGUGUCUAUAUAUAUAUAUAUAAUGUGAAAUUACAAAAAUGCCAUUAUAUCAGUUCAAUUCGAAUUUUGUAACUUGUGAUCCAAAAACUGAACCAAACCGAACCAUUUGGUUUGGUUUUUAUAUAUUCAGGUUUUUAAUUUAAAAAAACUAAAUUGAAAUUGAAAGAACUAAACCGAACCGAAUUUUUUUUUUUUUUUUGUUUCGGUUCAAUUAUGCCCAUCCCUACUUAGUAGGCUGGGCAUUAAUUUCUUUGAAUUGUGCUUUCAUUGCAGUAAUCUCCUCCUUGGUAAUAGGUUUAAUUGCUUGUUGAUGCCUCAUUUCCUCUAGUAACAACUAGUCUAACAAGCCAUCAUCGUCAAACAUGUACCUAUUAUAAGCAUCAUCCAGAAUUUGCUCUCUUUGCUUUUUGCUUAGUGUCUUCUUUGCACAAGCUAUUAUCUCAGCUUUUGUAUGAAUAUCUUUAUCUUUUGAUUCACCAGAGGAUGAAUCAUCACCGGAAUAGAGUGGUGAAGGCCCCAUAGAUUAGUGUGAUCAAGUUCUAGUGUAGUUUUGGUUUUGAUUUCAGUAUUAGGAAAAUGAAGCCUAUGAAAUUUACUAAGCUAACAUGCUUCACAAAAGUGCUUUAAUACUUGAAGAGGAUAAAUGAGGAUAAAUAAAUUUAAAUAUACAUUAGAUUUUGAGGGUUGGGAUGUCAAAACUUUUGGUGAAAAAGAGUUAGUACAAGCAUUUUUAUUGAGAUUGAAAAUAUUUCUUAAGAUGAUCAAUACUAGUUACAAAAUUGGAAUGAAAAAAAAAGGCAACAUAGACAAAGGUUUGUUUAUUUGAUUGUAAGAUAGAAAAGACUUGUAUUUAAGUUGUGGAAAGGAUUUGAGCAGCAAUUUAUACAACCUUUUCUCAGCAAAACCUUCCUCUUCAAUGAAUCCUUCACAAAACAAAUAGAUCCAAGAAAUUCGACAAAUAAAUUGUUGUCAAUGGUAAGUUUUGAAAUGCUCAAUAGAUUCUUUGUAAUGGAUGGAACAAACAGUACAUCCUUAAGUAAAAUAUGUCUUAUAUUAUCUUUUUUUAAUUCUUUUUUAAAAAAUAAGUGAAUAAUAGUAUGUCAAUCUCAAAUAUCAAUAUGUACAAUUUUUAUUUGUGUAAGAAUUUGCAUCCAAUAAUCAUCAAUACAUAAUUGUCUUUUAAUUGAAUGGUUCUCACCUCCCUUCCAAACUUUGAAAAGGUAAAAUAAGAUCAAUCAUGUCAGUGGCAAUUAAUAUAAAGAUUACUUUUCUUAUUUGUAGUAACGUCCUCUGAUUAUUUAGCUGAUUUUCAAGCUACACAUUUAUUCCAUUUGAUGUUGAUAUUAGUAAAAUUAAUGUAAUAUUUAAAAAGGAAAAAAAUCCGUCGAGCUAAAAGCCGAGUAUAAAAUUGAACCGGACCCAAACCAGAAACGCACGCCAACAACAUGCUUGCGUUAGUCGGCCCAUGCCCAUAAACCCACCAAGCCCGAUCCAAAUAGAAAAAUGAAUUGGACACCCGAGAUAGCAGAAACAGAUAAGUAACGGUCGUGUUAUCCCCAAUCUCAUAUCUUCAACGGUAUCCAGCCAACAUCUCAAAGUGUUCAAUUUUUUUUUAAGCCAAAAAAAAAUUCAAAAUUUUCAAGCGGAAUCUGGGAAGAUGGCGAUGAAAAGCAAGAUUCUGGUUAUCGGCGGAACCGGAUACAUCGGUAAGUACUUAAGGUGCGUUUGAAAUUGAGGUUGAACAACUAUAACUUUAAAACUACAGCACUAAAAUAUUUGGUAAACACUAACUGUUGUAACUUAAAAGCUAUUUAAUAUAAUUUUUCACUUGUAUAAUAAAAAAUUUAUUAUCUUUAAUAAUUUUGUCAAAAUUAUUAUUUAAAAUAUAUACAGUAAGAGAGAUUGUAACAUUUUCAAUCUUUGGUUUGAUAUUCUGGAAGAAAACGGUUUGCCGUUUACGGAGAAAAUGGCUAACCGUUUAAUUUCAGAGAGCAUGUUUUCUAUUCUAGAGAAAACGACUAACCGUUUGGAGAAAAUGGCUAACCGUUUGGAGAAAACGGCUAACCGUUUUGAGAAAACGGCUAACCGUUUAAUUCCAGAGAGCAUGUUUUCUGUUCUAAAGAAAAUAACUAACCGUUUGGAUAAAACAACCAACCAUUAAUUACAGAGAGUAACUUAUUUGACAUUCUGGAAUAAAACGGCUCACCGUUAUUGAGAAAAUGGCUAACCGUUUAUUUCCAGAGAGCGUGUUUUUGCGUCAACUGGAAAAACGGUUAGCAAGCUUGGAAAUUUCAAUUGUCAAUCGAUGCAAACUCAAACCAAAAGAGUGUUUUUUAAAGAAGUACCAUUUUUAAUGGUUGUAUUCUUUCAAAUAAACAUCUUCUUUAUUAAAGAUAAACAAACUAUUAUAUCAUAAUCAGAUUUUGCAGGUUUCAUAUAUGUUCUGGAAAUACAAUCUUAUUUUCUAGAGAUUGUAUUCAGGAUUUGAUAUAUCUUAGGGGUAAUUUGCCAUUAAAACUCUAUAGCAAACCAAGAUUGGUGAGGGCAAAUAAAACCUUAAAGAAAAGUGUGCAAACACGUCUCAAAUCCUAAGAAAUUUUCUUUGUUCUUUGCCUCCAUAUUCUUAAAAUUUGAAAAUUCACCCAUCAAUCUUUAAGGUUUUAUUUUGAUGCAAAUAGAGGCUGAGAAGAGUUUGACGCCAUUUCUUAAUCCUAGUGUCCAUCUCGAUCGUUUUGAUGGAACAAAUUUCACUCGUUGGAAGGGAAAAUUGUUCUUUCUUCUUACUGUUCUUAAAGUGACAUAUGUUCUUGAUCCGAAAUUGGAACCAUUUCCAGAACCAAGAGAAGAUGAUACCGAAGUUGUUAAGGCUGCAAGGAAACGUCGUGAAGAUGAUGAAUUGAUGUGCCGGGGUCACAUACUCAAUACGCGUUCUGACAGGUUAUAUGAUCUCUACAAUUUUAUGACUUCUCCGGUGGAAAUUUGGAAUGCUCUUAAGUACAAAUACAAAACGGAGAAAGAAGGUACUGACAAAUUCCUUGUCUCUAAAUAUUUUGAAUUUAUUAUGAUAGACACACAAUCCAUUCUUGAUCAAAUACAUGAGUUAUAAAUUAUUGUUGCUAAGCUUCGAGAGUUAAAAGUUGAAAUUUUUGAAUCAUUUCAAGUUGGGACUAUUAUUGCUAAAUUGCCUCAAAGUUGGAAUGAUUAUAGAAAGAAACUCCUUCAUAGUAAAGAGAACAUAACUUUAGAAGAAUUGCAAAAACACUUGAUAAUUGAAGAAGAGACUAGGUCUCGCGAAUCCAAGGAUAAGCAUGAUUCUACUAAAGUUAAUGUUCUUGAAGCUAGUAAAUUCUCAAAGAAUUUUAAAGUCAAGAAUGACAAGAAAUUUAAGAAGUCCAGCACACAAAAGUUUUCUGGAAAUUGUUUCUUUUGUGGUAAGAAAGGUCAUCGCCAAAGUGAUUGCAGAUUCAAGAAAAAAAAAAGGAAGAAGUGGAUUCCUAUAAAGCUAAUGUUAUUGAAAACAAAUCUGAAAAGAUUUGUGCUAUGGUUUCUGAAAUGCAAAUUGGCAUGAUUAUCGAAACCAAUAUGGCUGAAACUAAGUCCUAUGAUUGGUGGCUCGAUUCGGGUACAACAAUUCAUGUUUGUAAUGAUAAGAAAUUUUUAUUAUCAUACAAAGAAGAAACGGAAGGACAAAUGGUUCUCAUGGGGAACAAUAAUGCAGCCAUAGUAGCAGGGAAAUGAGUAGUUGAGAUCAACUUCACUUCUAGAAAGAAAGUCACAUUGUAUAAUGUCUUUCAUGUACCUUUCGUUAGGAAGAAUCUUAUUUCUGCUAGUUGUAUGUGUAAGCAUGGGCUUAAGAUUGUGCUUGAGGGUAAUACUUGUAUUAUCUCAAAGAAUGAAUUAUUUGUUGGGAAAUGGUAUUCUUGUGAUGGAAUGUACAAACUCAACAUUAAUAAUAAUAAUAUCAACUUAGCUUAUAUUGUUGAGUCUUGUGAUGUUUGGCAUGCUAAAUUAGCACAUUUGAAUUUUAGAUCUUUGAAAUACAUGUCUGAGCAUGGUUUGAUUAAUUGCAAUGAUGUUAAAGGUCAUAAGUGUGAAAUCUGCAUCCAAGCUAAAUUAACUAAGAAACAUUUUCUUAAAGCCGAACGAAAUACUCAAAUAUUGGACUUAAUAUAUACCGAUAUUUGUGAGUAUAAUGGCGUUUUAACAAGAGGAGGUAAGAAGUACUUUAUCACUUUUAUUGAUGAUUGUUCUAGAUACACUUAUGUGUAUUUACUUAGAACAAAAAAUGAAGCUUUUGAUAAAUUUAAAAUUUUCAAAGCUGAAGUUGAGAACUAAAAAGAUAAGAAAAUCAAAAUGGUUCGUAGUGAUAGAGGUGGUGAAUAUUUCUCAAUUGAAUUUAAUAAUUAUUGUGAAGAAUUUGGAAUUAUUCACCAAAGAUCAGCUCCAUUUACUCCUCAACAAAGUGGUUUGGCUAAAAGAAAGAAUAAGAUCUUCACAGAUAUGAUAAAUUCCAUGAUCCUUAAUGCAAAACUACCAAAUAAUUUGUGGGGGGAAGCAUUACUCACUGCAUGUCAUAUUCAUAACAGAAUUACAUAUUUGAAAACACAUAUAUCUCUUUAUGAAAUUUGGAAAGGAAGAAAACCAAACUUGAUGUAUUUAAGGGUCUAGGGUUGUUUAGCUUUUUAUAAAAUACAUGAUCCUAAAUCAUCAAAGUUAUGUGCUAGAUGUAUAAAGAGUGUUUUCGUAGGAUAUGCUGAAAAUUCCAAGGCUUAUAGGUUGUUAGAUUUAGAUUAUAAUGUGAUUGUGGAAUCUAGAGAUGUUGAAUUUAUUGAGAAUAAAUUUCAACAUGAUUCUAAUAUUGAAUUAGAAUCAAUUAUUGAUCAACCAUGUGUUAAUACUCCUGUUACCUCCACUAACAAUAAUAAAAGGAAAGACUCUAUGACAUCUUUCGAACCAAUGAGGAGUCAAGGUGAAAAGAAAGAAAAGAGUUUAGCUCCGAAUUUUAUUUCAUCACAAGCACUACUCUUCUUGGUUGAAGGGGAUAGAAAGAAUGUACUUAACAAAGUACCAUUGUUGUUAAAUAUUGAAAAAGAUCCAAAGACAUUUAGCGAAGCUAUGUCUUCUAGAGACGCUUCUUUUUGGAGAGAGGCGGUAAAUGAUGAAAUUGAUUCGAUUAUUUCGAAUCAAACAUGGGUCUUGGUUGAUCUUCCUCCAGGAUCUAAACCAAUUAGCAGCAAAUGGGUAUUUAGAAGAAAGUACAAUAGUGAUGGUUCUUUGCAAACUUUUUAGGCUAGAUUAGUAGCCAAAGGGUUUAAGCAAAGAAAUGGUAUUGGUUAUUUCGAUACAUAUGCUUCGGUAGCAAGGUUAACUUCUAUAAGAGUGCUAUUUGCAAUUGCUUCAUUGAAUAAUUUGUAUGUGCAACUAAUGGAUGUUAAAACCGCUUUUCUUAAUGGUGAUCUUGAUGAAGAAAUCUAUAUGGAACAACCUGAGGGAUUUGUUUUACCAGGAAAUGAGAAAAAAGGUAUGCAAGUUAGUCAAAUCACUUUAUGGUUUAAAGCAAGCACCAAAACAAUGGCAUGAGAAGUUUGAUUCGGUAAUUUUAUCUCAUGGUUUUAAGCAUAAUAAUGCUGAUAAAUGUAUAUAUUUUAAAGUUACGAAUGAUUUUGGUGUGAUUAUAUGCUUGUAUGUUGAUGACUUGCUUAUCUUUGGAACAAAUAUGCAAGGAGUAGAUGAUACAAAGAAGUAUUUAACUUCACAAUUUAAGAUAAAAGAUCUUGGUGAAGUAGAUACUAUCUUAGGUGUCAAAGUGAAGAAACAUAGUGGGGGUUACUCGUUGUGUCAAUCUCAUUAUAUAGAGAAAGUGCUUCUUAAAUUCAAUUAUUUGAAAUUUAAAGAAGCUAAUACCCCAUAUGAUUCUAGUAUUAAAUUAUUAGAGAAUUCAGGCCGAGUAGUAGCACAACUAGAAUAUGCUAGUGCUAUUGGUAGCUUGAUGUAUGCUAUGCAUUGUACGAGGCCUGAUAUAGCAUUUGCAGUUUGCAAAAUGUCAAGAUUCACGAGUAACCCUAGUGUUGAACACUGGAAAUCAAUUGGUAGAAUACUUGGUUAUCUUAAAAGGACCAUUAAUUUGGGUUUGUUUUAUAAUGAUUAUCUUGAAGUACUGGAAGGAUAUUCAGAUGCUAGUUGGGUAACCAAUACAAGAGAUAAUAAAUCCACUUCUGGUUGGAUUUUUACAAUUGCUGGAGGAGCAGUUUCUUGGGCUUCAAAGAAACAAAUGUACAUAACUCAUUCAACAAUGGAAAGUGAGUUUAUAGCACUCGCAGUUGCAAGCAAGGAAGUAGAAUGGCUGAGAAAUUUGUUGUUUGAUAUAAUGUUAUGGCCACAACCGAUGCCAUCUAUUUCUUUGUACUGCGAUAGUGAAGCUACAUUGUCUAGAGCUUAUAAUAAAGUGUAUAAUGGAAAGUCUAGACAUAUUAGCUUGAGACAUGAAUAUGUGAAACAAUUAAUAGCAGAUGGUGUUAUUAAUAUUGUUUAUGUUAGGACUAAUAAGAACCUAGCGGAUCCUUUAACAAAAGGUCUUACAAGAGACUUAGUUAAGGAUACAUCUUUUGGAAUGGGAUUGAAACCUUUAAAUAAUAAAGUCACCAACGACGAUAACCCAACUAUGUAGUAGUUGCACCGCUACUCCAUAGUUAAAUGGAUAAUAACAAGUUGUUGUUAUGUGACUGGUUUGGCACCGAGUAAUAAAUAAUCACAUUCGAGAUAUUCGGUGCAAAUAGCUACGAGGUUGAGGUUGAGUAUUUACUCUUAAUGAAGUUCAAGUCUUAUACUAGCUAAAGACAUGAUUUGAAACUUCACCUAAGUGAACAUAAGAAAUGGUGCCGUUUCUAACAAGAUCAUGGUUUAAUCUAGUAAAUGUUUAUGAAUCCAAGAUAGAGCACAAGGCCGGAAUAGUGCUAAAUAUUGGAACACAACUUUGAAAAUCUGGGAUAGCUUAUAUGUGAUGUAUCUCCGGUAUUUACUUAAGAGACAAAGUUUAAUGCUUAGCACACUAUUGUUUUGUAAAUGCUUUGAAAUACACUCACUAAUUAAAGGUUAAAAUCGAAAGAUAUCGUUUUGUAUGUAUAAGUUUAUCAUUAAUAAAUAUGAAAAAUAUUACAAUCUAGUGGGGGAUUGUAAGAGAGAUUGUAACAUUUUCAAUCUUUGGUUUGAUAUUCUGGAAGAAAACGGUUUGCCGUUUAUGGAGAAAACGGCUAACUGUUUAAUUCCAAAUAGCAUGUUUUCUGUUCUAGAGAAAACGACUAACUAUUUGGAGAAAAUGGCUAACUGUUUAAUUUUAGAGAGCAUGUUUUCUGUUCUAGAGAAAACGGCUAACCGUUUGGAUAAAACGGCCAACCGUUAAUUACAGAGAGUAACUUAUUUGACAUUCUGGAAUAAAACGGCUCACCGUUAUUGAGAAAACGGCUAACCAUUUAUUUCCAGAGAGCGUGUUUUUGCGUCAACUGGAAAAACGGUUAGCAAGCUUGGAAAUUUCAAUUGUCAAUCGAUGCAAACUCAAACCAAAAGAGUGUUUUUUUAAAGAAGUACCAUUUCUAAUAGUUGUAUUCUUUCAAAUAAACAUCUUCUUUAUUAAAGAUAGACAAACAAUUAGAUCAUAAUCAGAUUUUGCAGGUUUCAUAUAUGUUUUGGAAAUACAAUCUUAUUUGCUAGAGAUUGUAUUCAGGAUUUGAUAUAUCUUGGGGGUAAUUUGCCAUUAAAACUCUAUAGCAAACCAAGAUUGGUGAGGGCAAAUAAAACCUUAAAGGAAAGUGUGCAAACACGUCUCAAAUCCUAAGAAUUGUUUUUUGUUCUUUGUCUCAAUAUUCUUAAAAUUCGAAAAUUCACCCAUCAUAUACAUACUACAUAUUAUUAAUUUUUGUUUUAUAACUAUAGUUUUUUUUUUACCGCAACUGUAGUUUAAAAACUACAGCACCUCAAUCCCAAAUAAGACCUUAGUAGAAGUGAGCGCGAAAGCCGAUCACCCAACAUUCGCGCUUGUGAGAGACUCCACUCUCUCCACUCCUUCCAAAUCCAAAAUCCUCGACCGUUUCAAAAAUCUCAGCUCGACCGUUUCAAAAAUCUCAGCGUCAAUUUAGUUCAUGUGCGCCACUCUUUUAGCUUUCCAAUUUUCCCGCCAAUUUUCUUUUAUUGUGAUUAAUUAAUUAAUUAAUGUAAAGAUUUUAUAUUAUAAUUUUGUUUGCAGGGAGAUCUAUACAGCCAUGAGAGCUUGGUGAGUACAAUAAAGCAAGUGGAUGUGGUGAUAUCAGCGAUAGGUCGCACUCAAUUAGCUGAUCAACUCAACAUUAUCGCAGCAAAUUGCGAUAACUAAGUACUUGGGAUUUUAAAGAAGCUGGAAAUGUUAAGGUUCUGAUUAACUUAAGUAAAUGCGUUAACUAAUUACUUGGGAUUUUAAAUUCAAAUGUGUGAAUUGUUCUAAAAAAUUAUUUAUGUUUAUUAGUCAGAGAUUCUUUCCUUCAGAAUUUGGAAAUGAUGUUGAUCGCGUGCAUGUCGUUGAGCCAGCAAGAACAUCAUUUGCCACCAAGGCUAAAAUCCGCCGAGCUGUUGAGGAUGAAGGAAUUCCAUACACCUACGUAGCUACGUAGCUUCCAAUUUCUUCGCUGGUUUGUAUCUUUCCAGUUUCUCACAGCCUGAAGCCACAGCUCCUCCAAGGGAUAAAGUGGUCAUCGUAGGUGAUGGAAAUGCAAAAGGCAAAGCGCUUCUGGAUACAUUUACUCUGUACACGCAAUGUGUGGUUACUGUUUGGAGAUAAAAAAGGAGAUUAAUUAAUAAAGAAAAUGAAAUUAUUGAGGGAUUUGCUGAAGAGUUGCGUGCACUCCUCAUUUUUCUCCACCACUCAUCUUACUUGCAAAAUGCAAUGACCAAACUAUCCUCGCCAAAGCCUAGACAUUUACUUGUGUUCAAAGGCCAUUUAAGGGAGACAAGUACAAAAAGUUAUAAAGGAUAGUAAGCAGAAGAAGAAAAUGGAAAGGGGAGGGGGGGGGGGGGAGAAUAAAAAAGGGGAGUGGGGCGUUAUCUAGGGAGGAUUUUUAUUUUUAUUUUUUUUCCUCUCUUCUCCAUGGCAUCUCUUUCUCUCUUUCUCCCACUAAGAAAUUCUUUCUUUUACACUCUAUUUUACUUUUAUGCAAAUUACGCAAAAAACUUUUGGUUUUAAGGCAAUGUUUAUUAAGCCACGUGAAUUUGAAAAAGCAUGAAUAAGGGGAUGAUUUUAACACAUUAAUUCACCAACAUUAAUUGGAAAAGAUCAGUUGCCACUUCGAAUCAGAGUAAUUUCUUCGGCAAUAGCCAAAUAUUGAUAUUUGAUCUUGACACUGUAGUUAAAUCAAUGUAACUGAUUUUGUCAUUUGAUCCCCAGUAAUUUUUAACAAGGAAGACGAUAUUGGGAUUAAUUCUAUCAAAGCGGUGGAUGAUCCAAGAACACUGAACAAAAUACUUUACAUCAGACCCCGUUGCAAUAUCUACUCAUUUAAUGAUCUUGUGUCUCUGUGGGAGGAAAAGAUUGGCAAAGCCCUUGACAGGGUCUAUGUUACAGAGGAACAACUUCUGAAAAACAUUCAAGGUUAGUUAGAACUAUCACUUUAUCAAGUGGAUAGAUGUAACUGACCGAUAAUGGAAAUUUUUUUCCUUCUCCAAAAUGCGAUAGAAUCUAAUCGGUUUCAACAAUCUCAAGAACACCUAUUCAUGGUUGUGUUGUUUGAAAUCUGUAUGUAUCAGUUUUCUUUCUAGAUCUCAGAUUGCUCGCAAGGAUGUCAAGUUUUGAUGAUGCUUGCCUGUUUUCCUGUGUUUACAGAAGCUUCAUAUCCACUCAAUAUGAUAUUACCUAUUGGGCACUCUGCCUAUGUCCUGGGAGAUCAGACCAACUUCGAAAUUGAACCUUCAUUUGGAGUAGAGGCAACAGAGCUUUAUCCAGAUGUCAACUACACUACUGUGGAUGAGUACCUCAACCAGUUCAUAUAAACCUUCUGAGAUGAGCAGCAGGAUCCUAACAAAAAAUUGGGUGGUUUCCAUCCCUGAUUCUAUGGUAUAAAGAUAGCGGCUUUCCCUGCUUUUGCCAGUUCAGUGAAGUUUGUUAGAUGAUGUUAUUUAUACUAUACUAGCAAAGAUCAAGUUGCCUUUCUUGUCAAGAAGCCAAGCUCUGGCAUUGGUUUAUGCUAGUUUUUCACACUAAUAUUGGUAUUCACUAAUUUUUUUUUUUCAUUUCACACCGCCAUCAUCAGUGGAGAUGCCCUCUUGUAUGGUACUAACUUUGAUUUUCCUUAUGCUUCACUUGCUGUCUCUGCAGAUUCGUAAAAGAUCAUUCAUGGAUAAGAUCAGAACAUCAAUUUGAUACAGUAUGCAUUGAGAACUCCCACAUGAUUCUUGUUCUAGUUCUGGUUAGACAUGAAACAUGUUACAGUUCCAUAACUUGAGACAUUGUCAUUCAACAAUUAUCAUCACAUUAAAACAGUGGCCAAUCCCUAACAGCUACCUUUUGACUCUUCACAUUUUUUUUCUGCAUUUUAUGCGCAUUAAUUAUCUAGACCUAGACUUAUUACACUUCUCAGCCUGGCCCGUUGGACAGUGAGUGAUGAAACAAAUUUUUUUUCAUGUUUAUUACUUUUUUUGCAUUCAAAAUGAUAAAACUGCAGAGGUUGUUGCAUGCACGUCAUUUGUUAGUAGGGGUAUCAAUUUAUGAACGUAUGAAGUAUCUCUUCUGCACCGGCAUCCUCCUUAACUGUCAGUAGGAUCACAAUAAGUCGACCAACCAUCUACCGUAUGGAUUAUCUAUAAAUUGAAAUUGGUGUGUAUUAUGGAUCUGUCACUCUGCUGCUUCUGUUUUCUUUUCUAUUUUUACCAAGAAAGAAACAUUGUUAAAACUGAAUGGUUGUUAUCUCGUCUUGUUGUAAUGUUGUGUAUGCUUUCUAGAAAAUAAUGAAGUGCCAAAUAUGAAAAUACUAGUGGCUACCUUACCAUCCUUAAUAAGUUGUCUGAUUGUCACCGUCAACAAUCACUCUCAGCAACUCAUAAUCCAUUUAAGCAUAUUAUAAAAUAAUCAAUUUUGUAUUUGCACCAACUUUUAGUUUUAAAUGACAAUUUCGUUGAUCCCCACACUUCUGUACUAAUCAAAUCCACUGAAACUGGACUUUUUUUUCUUUUUUUUUAUAAUUACAUCGAUUGCAUUGGCUAUUGCAGGGAAAAGACUGCCUCUACAGGGAACUAAACUUUCAGAAUUGAUCUUAUGAGGGUUUGAAUAUGCUCUCGUACUAGGUCAAUGGCCUAUUGGUUCGAGACCAUUCACAAAGAAAGAAAUGAGUUUUGCUUGUAUAAAUGAAAGAAAUCCAAAUGAUAACUAAUGUAUAGUGGUACAUGAGAAAAAUAAUUUCAGCCCCUGUGUAAAGUCAAAAAGAGAAAAUAUUAAAAGAAAGGAUAAUGUCAUUGAGUUCGGUGAAGUGAAAGAAAAUAAAAAACAUGGGAUUUAGUCAAACUUAGUGUCCCAAUCAGCAGAAAAAGGUUUUAGAAACUCACCUCAAGUUAAGCCAACUAUUAGGAGCUUUAUUUAAUCAUGGCUUUCUAAUGUAUAGUACUCCAAUACUAAACGAGGGCUACCUCUACGCUUGCAAAUGUAAAUGAAAUUGAGUUCGUGACGCACAAUGAAGUGAGCAAAAUGAGUUGAGAUCUGAGAAUAUAUUAAAGAAAAUAUGAAUCAAUGAAUUUUGGUUAAAAAAAACAAAUGCUGGUUCUUCAAGACCUGCGUGUAUUGUGUAAGUUUUGUUAGGAGAAGGAAAGCAUUUUGGUCUAAAACGCACUAAAUCGGAUUCAUUUGCUUGAUAUCUAAUAAGGGUGAAUUAACCACUCGCCCACAGCAAUUCAAGUACCCAAAAAAGUUUUGUGGGGGCUAAAUUUCUUCUUUAAUUAUAAAAAAUAAUUGAACGGAGGAUAAAAAUUUAGGCCAUGUAUAACAAUAACUAAUAUAAACUAGUCCUAAUAAUAGUAUAAUUGUAAAUAUCAGUUGUAGUCUCAUACAAUAUAAGUUUAUAGAUUAUAAUAUCGGCAUAAAAAGAAAAAUGAUAUCUGACGGUCAAUCAAUAAAAGGAUAAAAACUUUGGAGUAACAUACCACAAAGUCAAUGUAGCUGGACAGUGAAUAUAAUAUGUAAACAAAUUUAAAUGGGAUAAUACCAUACGGUACAUACAUAACAUUUUAAAACUGAAUUAAAAAAAUAAAAUUAAAACUGAAUUAGAAUUCGUAUGUGUAUCCAGCUACCUUGCCACAGUUGUAAGGUACCCUAACUUUGCAACAAUUUCAUCCUUCGUGCAUUCGGUCACAAAGUCCAAAUUAGGCACGUUUAAGAAUCGAACUGAAAAACUAAAAAAAAGAAUCCGGCGAUAUUUGCGAACCGGAAACGAGCCAGCGUUAUGCUUAUGUCAUUUCAGAGAUAUCAACAGUCGUGCUUUCAGUCCUUAAACCUCAAGGGCAUUUUCGUCCUUUCACUCAAGCGUGAAACUGCAUGUAAGAACUGCUUCGCUUACACGCUCCAUGCACAUUUAAAGGCACCACUGUCGGAUAAAAAAUAUCCAUCCAUUUGAUCAUUUCAAAACAAAACGAAAAAAAAAAUCUCAGUAAUUGAACUGAACGAGUCUCAGAAAUGGCAUCGAAAAGUAAGAUUCUAUUCAUCGGCGGGACAGGGUAUAUCGGUAAAUUCACUGUCGAAGCGAGCGUAAAAGCCGGCCACCCGACGUUCGUGCUCGUGAGAGAAUCCACAAUCUCUGGUCCUUCCAAAUCUCAACUCCUCGAUCACUUCAAAAACCUCGGCGUCAAUCUCGUCAUAGUGCGUUUUCAUUUUUCUCUUUUCUUAAUUUUUUAUUCCGAUCAUUUUUACACGUCGAAGUGUAGCAUCUACUACUUAAUAUACAUAAUGAUAUUAUUAUUUUUUAAUUUUUUUGGGUUGCUGUUAUUAUUAUGCAGGGAGAUGUGUUGAAUCACGAGAGUUUGGUGAAGGCGAUUAAACAAGUGGACGUGGUGAUAUCAACGGUCGGUCACACUUUAUUAGCUGAUCAGGUCAAGAUUAUUGCUGCCAUUAAAGAAGCCGGUAACGUUAAGGUAUAACAUAAUUAAUAUAAAUAUCUUGAAUUCCGAUCAGGAUUGUGCACUCGCGAACACGUGGUGAUUUAUUCUUGGUGUGGAGCUCGCUGUAGAGUAGAGCUCCCAGUUCAGCUAAUAAACACCCCGUCACAUGCGCAAUUGCGCCUCAAAAUAAUUUAAUUGAUUAAUUAAGGAUAAAUACCAAUGGCAUGAAAGCAAUUAAAAUUAGUUGAUGUUUAUAAAUUAUUUAUUACUCAGAGAUUCUUACCAUCGGAAUUUGGAAAUGAUGUUGAUCGAGUUGAAGGCGCCGUAGAGCCAACAAAAUCGACGUAUGACGUAAAGGCGAAAAUCCGCCGAGCCGUUGAGGCAGAAGGCAUUCCGUACACUUACGUAGAAUCUUAUUGUUUUGAUGGCUAUUUCCUCCCCAAUUUGUUGCAGCCUGAGGCCACUGCCCCCCCUAGGGAUAAGGUUGUCAUCUUAGGCGAUGGAAAUCCAAAAGGUAAUAUAAUUUAAUUAAGCUCUGUUUGUUUGGUAUGUAUUUCGGUGUUAAUGUUAUUGUCUGUUGUACAAUGGAUGGUCUUGCUUGGUACUGUUGUUGGAGAGCUGCAGUGUUUUGAUAAACACCUCUAUCCUUAGCUUUCAAGUUAAGUUGAUUUUAUACAACACUUGUUUAAUUCAAAACUUGUAAUAUUCUUACUACUUUGAUAAAAAAUAUUACGAUUAAAGCAUUAAUGGCACCAUAAUACGAAAUGAACCUUAAGUGGUCAUUAUAGAUUUUAAGAUAGAGUUUUAAGUGAUUACCAGAUACUUUAGCUGCUGAACCGCCACAUCAUGGUUGCCACACAACAAUUUCAAACAGAACCUAAAUAACUUCAUUGCAAAACAGUUAAAUGAAUCUAACUUAGUUUCGUCGUUUGAUUUUCAGCUGUUUUUAACAAGGAAGAUGAUAUUGGAACCUACACUAUCAAAGCGGUUGAUGAUCCGAGAACCUUGAACAAAAACUUUUACAUUCAGCCUCCCGGUAAUAUUUACUCAUUCAAUGAUCUUGUGUCUCUGUGGGAGAGAAAGAUUGGUAAAACCCUCGAAAAGGAGUAUGUUUCAGAGGAGCAGCUCCUAAAGAAUAUUCAAG